rnacentral:lncRNA from 1 species
UACUUAUGAGUGCCUGUCAGUGCCAGUCCCUGAUAGGUGCUGAAAAUAUAACAGUUAUCUAAACUGGCUCUGCCCUCAUGGAGAUUGUAUAGAUUAAUGACUCUCAAGCUUUAAUUUGCAAUCAAAACAUGCGAGGAUCCUGGUGAAGUGUGGAUGCUGAUUCAGUAGCUUUAGGGUGGAGCCUGAGAUUUUGUGUUUCUAAUAAAUUGAUGCUGCUGGUCCCAGAACAAAUUUUCAUAAUUAAGAUUCAGAUAAUUGAAAUAUGUACUCCAACAAUUACUGGUAUAGGAAUUAGAACCCAUGUAGUCAACCAUUAUCUUUACUGUGAGAUUAAACACAUUUUGGAAAGAUGGGCUAGGAAAUAUUUUGUUGACAAUAGUGGCUAAUUAUACUAUGAGAGUCAGAAGAAACUGUGCAAAGGUAUCUUUACGAACCAUUUAAUCAAAUUGUUUUAAAAAACCUUUCCCAAUACACAUCAUAGAUGUAGAGUAGAUACUAGACAUAUUAGUAAUCUUUGAUAGUCAUGUAGUCAGCAUCUGAUUCACAAUUUCUAAUAUUUUACCAUUUCCUGCAGUGAAGAGGAAAAUAAAUGACAUGAUCUUUUCUCAAUAUGUCUAUUUAUAAAUGUGGAUUAGUGUGAAUCACCAAAUAUUUAAUAAAGUUUUUAAACCAAUCUUUCUUGUGAGAAAAUUGGGGCCUAUGUUUGUAUUUGCAUUUUUCACUGAAAGUUAAUUUCAAUCAUGUAGAAUUUUCAUAGGUCCAAAUGCCACC